UACGGGGGGUGCGAGCGUUGUCCGGAAUUACUGGGCGUAAAGGGCUCGUAGGCGGCCAACUAAGUCAGACGUGAAAUCCCCAGGCUCAACCUGGGAACUGCGUCUGAUACUGGAUGGCUUGAAUUCGGGAGAGGGAUGCAGAAUUCCAGGUGUAGCGGUGAAAUGCGUAGAUAUCUGGAGGAAUACCGGUGGCGAAGGCGGCAUCCUGGACCGACAUUGACGCUGAUGAGCGAAAGCUAGGGGAGCAAACGGG
rnacentral:rRNA from 1 species